UACGUAGGGACCUAGCGUUGUCCGGAAUCAUUGGGCGUAAAGCGCGCGUAGGCGGCCCGGUAAGUCCGUUGUAAAAGUCGAAGGCUCAACCUUCGAAAGCCGAUGGAUACUGCCGGGCUAGAGUCCGGAAGAGGCGAGUAGAAUUCCUGGUGUAGCGGUGGAAUGCGCAGAUAUCAGGAGGAAUACCCAUAGCGAAGGCAGCUCGCUGGGACGGUAUUGACGCUAAGGCGCGAAAGCGUGGGGAGCAAACAGG
rnacentral:rRNA from 1 species